GAUGAACGCUAGCGGCAGGCUUAAUACAUGCAAGUCGAGGGGCAGCAUAAGUAGCAAUACUUGAUGGCGACCGGCAAACGGGUGCGGAACACGUACGCAACCUUCCUUUAAGUGGGGAAUAGCCCGGGGAAACCCGGAUUAAUGCCCCGUAAUAUUAUGAUGUGGCAUCACUUUAUAAUUAUAGAUUUAUCGCUUAAAGAUGGGCGUGCGCCUGAUUAGGUAGUUGGCGGGGAACGGCCCACCAAGCCAGCGAUCAGUAACUGGUGUGAGAGCACGACCAGUCACACGGGCACUGAGACACGGGCCCGACUCCUACGGGAGGCAGCAGUAAGGAUAUUGGUCAAUGGACGCAAGUCUGAACCAGCCAUGCCGCGUGGAGGAUGAAGGUCCUCUGGAUUGUAAACUUUCUUUUA
rnacentral:rRNA from 1 species